rnacentral:rRNA from 1 species
GCCUUCGGGCAUGUGCACGCUGACCGUGUUUCAACAAUUUCUCACCUGUGAACCUAAUGUAGGAUGCCUCUCCUCCGGGAGGGGGGACCUAUGUCUUCAUAUACAUCUUCGUGUAGAAAGUCUUAGAAUGUUUACUAUCAGAGAGUCGCGACUUCUAGGAGACGCGAAACUCUUGAGAUAAAAGUUAUUACAACUUUCAGCAAUGGAUCUCUUGGCUCUCGCAUCGAUGAAGAACGCAGCGAAAAGCGAUAUGUAAUGUGAAUUGCAGAUCUACAGUGAAUCAUCGAAUCUUUGAACGCACCUUGCGCUCCUCGGUGUUCCGAGGAGCAUGCCUGUUUGAGUGUCAGUAAAUUCUCAACCCCUCUUGAUUUUUUUUUGAGGGAGUUUGGAUAGUGGGGGUUGCCGGAGACUAAUAAGACUCGGGCUCUCCUGAAAUGCAUUGGCUUGCGAUAGACUUUCGACUUUGCGCGACAAGGCUUUCGGCGUGAUAAUGAUCGCCGUUCGCUGAAGCGCAUGAAUGAAGGUUUCGCGCCUCUAAUAUGUCGACUCUUAUUAUCUCUUCGGAGAGAAAAGGUCUUCUUUAUUGACUUUUGACCUCAAAUCAGGUAGGAUUACCCGCUGAACUUAAGCAUAUCAAUA